GUGUGUCGGCAGCACAUAUACUAAAACUGGAAUGAUACAGAGAAGAUUAGCAUGGCCCCUGCACAAGGAUGACAUGCAAAUUCUUGAGUAGGCCACUUAUUUU